rnacentral:piRNA from 1 species
UAGCGUGCUGUUAAAGAAAGAGAAGUGUC